rnacentral:misc_RNA from 1 species
GUUUAAAGGGUGAGGAGAACUGGUUUUUCCAUUGUUUGGAAAGGCUAGAGAAAGGUGACGGACUGGAUAUGUAAUGGUGAAAUAUUCUCCUGGCGCCCAAAAAAUUGUUUCUCUCCAAUUUGAGGAGAAAAGGAGGGCAAAAUUUGUCUUCUUUGCUGUACUUACAGGCAAAUUCUCUUUUUUUUUUUCUUUUCACUUUUUUGUGGAUGAAGGAUUUU